GUAAAGUUUGAUUUUGGUUUUAUUAUUCAUUAUUAAUUUUAUUUAUAUGUAAAUUUUUAUUGAGAUUUAAUUAAAAAUUAAUGAUUUAUAUAAUUGCAAUAAUUAAAUUUAAUAAAUUAAAGAAAUUUAGAUUUAGAAAUAUUAUUUAAUAUAGUAAAAUUUUGUGCCAGCAUUCGCGGUUAAACAGGAGCAUAUAAGUGAAUAUUGAUUAAUUUAUAAUUAAUAAAAAGUUAAUAAAAAUAAUGUAAAUUUAAAUUAAAAAUUAUAAGGUGAAAUUUAAAUUUUUAGGUAUACAAUUUAAAUUUUUAUUUUAUAUGAGGGUGUGAAAUUUUUUUUAAUAAACUAGAAUUAGAUACUCUAUUAUUGAAAAUAUAAAUUAAAUAAAAUUAGGGGAUUAAUAGGUAUGAUCUUGAAACUCAAGAGAUUUGGCGGUACUUUAAUCUAAUUAGGGGAAUUUGUUUAUUAAAUGAUGAUCCACAAGACAUCUUACUUUAUUUAAUUAAUUUAUAUGUCGCCGUUGUGGAGGGUAUUUAAAGAUUUUUAUUAACUUUCAAUUACCUUAACUUGGGGGAAAUUCAGGUAAGAUGUAGUUUAUAAUAGAGUUUAAAUGAGUUACAAUAAAGUUAUUUAUACGGAUAUUAAAUUGAAAUAUUUAGUUGAAGGUGGACUUAAAAGUAAAUUUUAAUAUUAUAUAAUAUUGAAUAUAGCGCUAAAGUAUGUACAUAUCGCCCGUCGCUCUCGUUUAAAAAUGAGAUAAGUCGUAACAUAGUAGAUGUACUGGAAAGUGUAUCUAG
rnacentral:ncRNA from 1 species